rnacentral:rRNA from 1 species
AGUGAACGCUGGCGGUAGGCCUAACACAUGCAAGUCGAACGGCAGCACAGUAAGAGCUUGCUCUUACGGGUGGCGAGUGGCGGACGGGUGAGGAAUACAUCGGAAUCUACUUUUUCGGGGGGGAUAACGUAGGGAAACUUACGCUAAUACCGCAUACGACCUACGGGUGAAAGCAGUGGAUCUUCGGACCUUGCGCGAUUGAAUGAGCCGACGCCGGAGUAGCUAGGUGGCAAGGUAACGGCCCACCAAGGCGACGAUGCGUAGCCGACCUGAGAGGAGGAGCGGCCACACGGGAACUGAGACACGGUCCAGACGCCUACGGGAGGCAGCAGUAGGGAAUCUUGCGCAAUGGGCGAAAGCCUGACGGAGCAACGCCGCGUGAGUGAAGAAGGUCUUCGGAUCGUAAAGCUCUGUUAUUAGGGAAGAACAAAUGUGGAAGUAACUAUGCACGUCUUGACGGUACCUAAUCAAAAAGCCACGGCUAACUACGUG